GUAGACUGCUGUCCUGUAUGCAAUAUUGAUCUGGGCCGUCUGCCUGUGGAGAAACUGAGGCCAGACCAUAAUUUGCAAGAUAUAAGGGCCAAAAUAUUUCCUUUUAAAAGAAGAAAAAUUAAGGCCCCUGAAGUUAUGCCUUCAAUUGCAUUGCCAGCAAAAAGAAAGGAGAGAUCAUUGUCAUCAUUGGUGGUUAGCACUCCCAAAGUGCCCAUGCAAACUGGCUUGACGGGAAGGAGGUCUAAAGCUUGUGCAAGAAAAGCUGCUGCUUUACGAUGCAGUUUUACUGUUGAUGAAUCCAAUA
rnacentral:misc_RNA from 1 species